GGAAAUCUCACCAGGCCGGACACUGGAAGGAUUGACAGAUUGAUAGCUCUUUCUUCAGUGGGUGGUGGUGCAUGGCCGUUCUUAGUUGGUUGAGUGAUUUGUCUUGUUAAUUCCGAUAACGAACGAGACCUUAACCUGCUAAAUAGUGACGCGGUUCAUCGAACCGUGGGCCACUUCUUAGAGGGACUAUCGGAUUCAAACCGAUGGAAGUGUGAGGCAAUAA
rnacentral:rRNA from 1 species